CUACGGGAGGCAGCAGUGGGGAAUAUUGGACAAUGGGCGAAAGCCUGAUCCAGCCAUGCCGCGUGUGUGAAGAAGGUCUUCGGAUUGUAAAGCACUUUAAGUUGGGAGGAAGGGCAGUAAGCUAAUACCUUGCUGUUUUGACGUUACCAACAGAAUAAGCACCGGCUAACUUCGUGCCAGCAGCCGCGGUAAUACGAAGGGUGCAAGCGUUAAUCGGAAUUACUGGGCGUAAAGCGCGCGUAGGUGGUUCGUUAAGUUGGAUGUGAAAGCCCCGGGCUCAACCUGGGAACUGCAUCCAAAACUGGCGAGCUAGAGUAUGGCAGAGGGUGGUGGAAUUUCCUGUGUAGCGGUGAAAUGCGUAGAUAUAGGAAGGAACACCAGUGGCGAAGGCGACCACCUGGGCUAAUACUGACACCUGAAGGUGCGAAAGCUUGGGGAGCAAACAGGAUUAGAUACCCUGGUAGUCC
rnacentral:rRNA from 1 species